UUACAACUAACAAGAACCCAAAUGACAGCAUUUUCAAUGGAGAAGAUAGAAAAAACCCCAAAAGAGGUUCUGGUUGACAUUGUGAAAUUGGCACAAAAAAGGGAUGGAAGGUAGUAAUGGAGGAUGGAAGGAGUUUUUGAGUGUUUAUAAUAUGAAGUUGGGGAAAAGUUUGAGUGAUCCUGCAAGAAGGGCACCUGAUGCAUUGAUUGUUUUUUUCAAA
rnacentral:lncRNA from 1 species